UCCCUGGUGGCUCAGACAGUAAAGAAUCUGCCUGCAAGGCAGGAGACCCAGGUUCCAUCCCUGGGUUGGGAA
rnacentral:tRNA from 1 species